GCGCUUUUGGUGUAACGGUAACAUCUCUCGCUCAGAAACCCGAAAGGUUGCGGGUUCGACUCCCGCAGGGCGCC